rnacentral:tRNA from 1 species
GCCUUGGUAGCUUAGUUGGUAAAGCACUUGUCUAAUAUACAAGAGUCCUGGGUUCAAAUCCCAGCUGAGCA